GAGUGGUAAGGUGUUAGCUUACUUUAAGGUCUCAUGUUCAAGUCCCUAUGUGAUCAGGAAUGUUAAUUUUUUCUUCGGUUGUGGGAUAGAAGUUCGGGGGUAGUGAAAUUCUGAGGUAGUUGAGUUGUUAGUGGAGUAGAGAAGGAGGUUGGGAUUAUGUGCUAAAUUUCAAAUUUAAUUUAAUUUUAAUUUUUUUCUCUUUC
rnacentral:lncRNA from 1 species